AGGGAACGGGUGCCCAAAAUGAAGAGUCAGGAUUUUAUCAGGGAGACGAAAGGUUCAGAUUCAAAAGAACAUAAUUUGAUGUCUGAGAAUCAAAGAGAAUCAAAAUGGAGGGUCGGGAUUCUGUUCAAAAUAUCCGUCCUUUCUCCUCUUAAUCCAACGGCCCAGGAUCUUGCCUUACGAAAUGGAUCCAAAGGCUGGGAAUAAAAAGCGCUGAAUCUGUCAUCUGCUUUUGAUCUGAGAGCUCCAGAUUCAUCCUUACAAUUAUAAUCAACGGUGUAGAUUGGGAUAUACAGGGCUGCUUUAACCGAUUUGGCUUCUGGCGGCUAGGAGGACGUCCUUGCAAAUGAGAUGUGUGGUGAGGAUCUGAUCACGCCUGCAAUACUUUAACUAACUCGAAUCUGACGAUGAAGGGAGUUAAUUGAAAGUUCUAACUGGAAGUUAUUUAACCCCUCUGCGCUCUCCGAUCUCUAUAAGUCAUCUCCUGUUUCUUCCGAUCUUUCUAUUAUGACCAUCCCCUUUCAUCUGCUCAGGACCCAACUUUCAUCUGCUCAGGACUAUAUCGCCGAGAUUGAGGGUCGGAUGAAAUCUUAUGAGGACAGGAUAGCUAAACUGGAGCGUGAACUCGAAGAGGCUCGGGCCUGCCGAACUGCCGAUGUCA
rnacentral:misc_RNA from 1 species